CUCUAAUAAAAAACAAUCUUUUCAUAUAAAAAAAAAGGAGAGUGUAUUCAGUGCACCUACAGUGUUUGGGCACUGACAGCACGUGGUCACGUGCCUAACGUUUUAAAAGCUUCCGUUAGUUUAGAUUUGGUCAGUCAAGAUCAUCACAAAAAAAGGUGAAAGGCAGUAAGAUGAAAAUUUUACCAUCCCCACACGCGGUGGUCGUGGGAGUAACUUCUAAGCCUCCAAGGUUGCCGCCGACUCCGGUUUUCUCAAAUCUGAGACGAGAGAAGAAGAUUUUGAGUUGCAGCAUGUAUUUGAAUCGUCGGCACCGUUAAUCGAUCGUUCAUAGUCCGGCGGCCCAAGUUCGUUCUGAUAUGAUCCCAAAUCUUGAGUAACACUUGGAAGUCGAAAAUCAUCGAAACCUUCAAUUCUGUUUGUAAUUAGAAUUCUAAUCACACGAUUAAGCAAGUGGAUUUGGUGCCAGUUCAUUGCAGCAGUUUGUAGGUGGGUUGGUGCUUAACUUUUGAGUUGAAUUCCUGCUUAGGAUUAGCCUUGCUGUUUGAUAUGGUUUAGAGGCUAUGCCUCAUUCCCUACUUUCAGGUGUUUCCUUCAGUAUGGCUUUUGCUUCUGAGUUAUCUCAUGGUGCUAAUUAAUGGGGUCAUUGCCCGUGGCCAGAGGGGAAGAAGUCUGCCCAAUCUCCUCAGCAGUAUUGUAUGAUAGACUUACGGACAUACUAGGGUGAAUACGCCGGAAGUUGCUGCGUGGAUAUCACAUGAUUCAACCUAGGCAUGAGGCUCAACAACAGUAUCGAGUCCUUUAAUUUGUUACUGUACUAAGCCAGAUGCUGUUUUAAAGUUUGUGACAUGUAUUUGAUUAGUUUAAUCUCACUCUCAGUGUGCAUUGUUUUCC